CUACAGCCACCCGAGUGGUCGGGACGUUUAUUGGGCCUAAAGCAUCCGUAGCCGGUUCUACAAGUCUUCCGUUAAAUCCAACUGCUUAACAGGUGGGCUGCGGAAGAUACUAUAGAGCUAGGAGGCGGGAGAGGCAAGCGGUACUCGAUGGGUAGGGGUAAAAUCCGUUGAUCCAUUGAAGACCACCAGUGGCGAAGGCGGCUUGCCAGAACGCGCUCGACGGUGGGAG
rnacentral:rRNA from 1 species